CCUGCCAUUGCCUCAGUACGGCGAGUGAGCGGCAAAGCUCAAAUUUGAAAUCCUUCGGGAGUUGUAAUUUGUAGGUUGGGAGACCCCGCGGCUAGUGGCACCAAGUCCCUUGGAACAGGGCGCCUUAGAGGGUGAGAGCCCCGUAGGUACCACAACACCGUCUUGUGUCUCCUCUCCAAAGAGUCGAGUUGUUUGGGAAUGCAGCUCAAAGUGGGUGGUAAAUUCCAUCUAAAGCUAAAUACCGGCGAGAGACCGAUAGCGAACAAGUACAGUGAUGGAAAGAUGAAAAGCACUUUGAAAAGAGAGUGAAACAGUACGUGAAAUUGUUGAAAGGGAAGGGCUUGCAAGCAGACACGGCCUUCGUGCCGGGCCAGCAUCGGUUGCUAGGGGUGGAUAAGGAACAAGGAAUGUAGCUCCUCGGAGUAUUAUAGCCUUGCGCGAUACACCCACUGGCGACCGAGGCCUGCGGUAUUCUUUACCUAGGAUGCUGGCGUAAUGGUUGCAAGCCGCCCGUCUUGAC
rnacentral:rRNA from 1 species